rnacentral:lncRNA from 1 species
UUUUUUUUUUUUUUUUUUUUUUUGAAACCGAGUCUUGCUCUGUUGCCCAGGCUGGAGUGCAGUGGCGCGAUCUCGGCUCAUUACACAUGUGCAGUAUUUACUGGGUUCACGCCAUUCUCCUGCCUCAGCCUCCCAAGUAGCUGGGACUACAGGCGCCCACCACCACACCCGGCUAAUUUUGUUUUUGUAUUUUUAGUAGAGACGGGGUUUCACCGUGUUAGUCAGGAUGGUCUCAAUCUAAAACAGGAGAAUCAUUUAUUGAGUGCACUCAGGCCCAGCUGACUCAACGUCCAAAAGACUGGGCCCGGAAGAAAGACAGCACUUGACUUCUAUACACACUUCACAAAAGGGGGUGGGCUAGCUUGAAGCAAGCUUACAGUGGCAUGAAAGCAGGGAUAUAGAGGCAGGACAAACUCAGGAUUGCACGUGACCGUUGCCAAGCAACCCAGAUGUCCGUUAUCUAGGUUUGCCCAGGCACAGGCUUAUCCCAUAACCUUCACUAUGGCGCCCAGGUGGCCGUAACUCAGGCCAGCUCAGAGGCUCAUGACCUUCACUCCACUGCUUAGAUAAAACAAUACUUGAAGUCACUAGUUACAGAGAACAGGAAUCUAUAAACUCAUUCCAUAAAACAAAGGAAAAUUUGUUUUUCUUCUCCCUAUGUUGAGGGAGUACUGGGAGAAUCUCCAGAGCACAUUAGAUAAUAUUAUGAAGAAUUUUCCUGGGUCUGGCCUGUGCCUAUUGCUGCCUCUGGGACAAGUCACCCUAAUACAGAAAAACUUAUUUCUCUUUCUUUUUAAUUUUACUUUUCUUUAAUUUCCCACCUCAACAGAGCCACUGGUGGCCGCAGAAUACAGUCCACGUGUCUUAACCAGGCUUACAAGACUCCAAAGGUCUGGCUUCUCCCCACCCCUACUCCCUGUCUUGUUUCUCCCACACUCCCCCAACAGCUUCUCUGGAGCCAAGUCAGCCAGCCUCCUUCCAGCUUCAGGCCUUUGAACAUGCUGUUCUUUCCACCUAAAAAGCUCCCCGCACUUCCCCCAGCCUAGUUCCCUGCUUGUAUAGAUUGUUCCUCUAAUGUGACUCCUGGAAAAGCCUUCCUUGCCUCCCAGGCUAGAGCAGAGCCCCCAUUAACAGCUCUCACACCAGCCUAUCUUUCUCCUCCACUGCAUUUGUCACAUCCUGUGAUCCUGUGUGCAUCCUGUUCAAUGUCUGUCUCCACACAUAAAAUGUAAACUCCAAAAGGAUAGGAACUGUGUCUGACUCGCUUCCUUUCAUGUCCCUUGUGCCUAGAUGGGUGCCUUGUAUCAAGCAGGUGCUCAACAAAUGUCUGCUGAAAAAAUGAUGCAGGGUGCGGUGGCUCACGCAGGGUGCCUUCUUUCUGGAUGGGGUCUUCAAUCAACUCUGGGACCUGCAAGGUCACCUCACACUUCCUUUCAGGUAAGGGAGGGUUAGAGCUGCUAGGGUGGUCACAGGACUCAUGGUUCAAGAAAGUACUCAAGGUUCCAGAAAGCUAGACAAGUGAUUGCUGGACUGGGCUGGGAACAGAGUGAUCCUGGGGCAGUAGUGAGGCACAGGCCACGGUCCUACUUGUGGAUGAGGUGAGGAGAGCUGCAGACCCCGUAAGGAAUCCCUCAGCCUGCCUGUGAGUAACAACUCUGAAGGGCUUUCUGAGGGCCCUGGGAAAGUCUGAUGACCGGAGCUGAAAGGUGAUUCUGUCCAAGGAAGAUCACGAUGGCCAAGAACCAAUGUAGGGUCAAGUUUGAGGUGUCUGUUGCGGAGGAAUCAAGGCUGAAGUACUCUGAACUAUCCAUCCUUUCUUCCAUCCAUCCAACACAUAUUUAGGGAGCUCCCGCCAGGGGCCGACGAUGCUUAGUGUCUCCAGUGACAUCACUCUGUUCGGAGGCAUCAGCUCCCUUUGUUUAGGUGUUGCUCAGAGGUUCCAUCUACCAUGUGGGACUGUGGAGUCAGACCAGGAUUCACAUCCCAGCUCUGUCACUUUCUGUCACUGACUUCAGGCAAGAGACUUCAUCUCUUUGAACCUCAUUUUCU